rnacentral:misc_RNA from 1 species
AACGCAAAUUGCGCUCUCGGGAUAGGCCUGAGAGCACGCCUCUUUGAGUAUCGAUUCCACCACCUCCAGAACAAACUGAUUUCGAUUGGUUUUGACACUGGGAAUUUGAGUGCUCUCAUAUCUCUUUAGUGAGAUGUGUCACUUGAAGCGGAAUGGAAUGGAGGGUCUUGCGAAACUGCUGUUGAAUGUCAGUUUGCUGAAGUAGACUUGAACAUGGAUAAAUUUCCAAUGAUCAAUAAACUUUGGCUAUUUUGAUAUCAGCGAAUACUAAGUUUUGCAAAAACAAAACCCUCUCCUAACUAAUAAUCUUAAUUAUCUAAGAAUUAGAUCUCAAAUGAAGCGAGACAACCCGCUGAACUUAA